UACGAAGGGGGCUAGCGUUGCUCGGAAUCACUGGGCGUAAAGGGUGCGUAGGCGGGUCUUUAAGUCAGGGGUGAAAUCCUGGAGCUCAACUCCAGAACUGCCUUUGAUACUGAGGAUCUUGAGUUCGGGAGAGGUGAGUGGAACUGCGAGUGUAGAGGUGAAAUUCGUAGAUAUUCGCAAGAACACCAGUGGCGAAGGCGGCUCACCUGGCCCGAUA
rnacentral:rRNA from 1 species